ACUCCUACGGGAGGCAGCAGUGGGGAAUAUUGCACAAUGGGCGUAAGCCUGAUGCAGCAACGUCGCGUGAGGGACGACGGCCUUCGGGUUGUAAACCUCUUUUAGUAGGGAAGAAGCGAAAGUGACGGUACCUGCAGAAAAAGCACCGGCUAACUACGUGCCAGCAGCCGCGGUAAUACGUAGGGUGCAAGCGUUAUCCGGAAUUAUUGGGCGUAAAGAGCUCGUAGGCGGUUUGUCGCGUCUGCUGUGAAAUCUGGGGGCUCAACCCCCAGCCUGCAGUGGGUACGGGCAGACUAGAGUGCGGUAGGGGAGAUUGGAAUUCCUGGUGUAGCGGUGGAAUGCGCAGAUAUCAGGAGGAACACCAAUGGCGAAGGCAGAUCUCUGGGCCGUAACUGACGCUGAGGAGCGAAAGCAUGGGGAGCGAACAGGAUUAGAUACCCUGGUAGUCCAUGCCGUAAACGUUGGGAACUAGAUGUAGGGGCCAUUCCACGGUUUCUGUGUCGCAGCUAACGCAUUAAGUUCCCCGCCUGGGGAGUACGGCCGCAAGGCUAAAACUCAAAGGAAUUGACGGGGGCCCGCACAAGCGGCGGAGCAUGCGGAUUAAUUCGAUGCAACGCGAAGAACCCUACCCAGGCUUGACAUAUACCGGAAAUGGCUGGAAACAGUCUCCCCGCAAGGUCGGUAUACAGGUGGUGCAUGKUUGUCGUCAGCUCGUGUCGUGAGAUGUUGGGUUAAGUCCCGCAACGAGCGCAACCCUCGUUCUAUGUUGCCAGCACGUUAUGGUGGGAACUCAUAGGAGACUGCCGGGGUCAACUCGGA
rnacentral:rRNA from 1 species